rnacentral:sRNA from 2 species
GUUUAGCCCUGAUAGCAGCGGCAUCCUUUUUUGUGUUAUUUAAUAGUGUUAAAGUGAGGUUGAAGAAAACGGUUUAAGGUUAAGAGCAACCUUGAGGUUAUCUACAAAAAAGAUAUAGCGAAUAGCAGGAAAUAGC